rnacentral:rRNA from 1 species
CCUACGGGUGGCAGCAGUGGGGGAUAUUGCACAAUGGGGGGAACCCUGAUGCAGCGACGCCGCGUGAGCGAAGAAGUACCUCGGUAUGUAAAGCUCUAUCAGCAGGGAAGAAAAUGACGGUACCUGACGAAGAAGCCCCGGCUAAAUACGUGCCAGCAUCCGCGGUAUUACGUAGGGGGCAAGCGUUAUCCGGCUUUACUGGGGGUAAAGGGAGCGCAGGCGGGUGGCCAAGUCUGGUGUGAAAACCCCGGGCGCAACCCCGGGAUUGCAUUGGAAACUGGCCGGCUGGAGUGUCGGAGGGGGAGGCGGAAUGCCUGGUGGAGCGGGGAAAUGCGUAGAUAUGAGGAGGAACACCGGGGGCGAAGGCGGCCUGCUGGACGAAGACUGACGCUGAGGCUCGAAAGCGUGGGGAGCAAACAGGAUUAGAUACCCCAGUAGUC